rnacentral:lncRNA from 1 species
GCCCUAUUUUUACAGUCUCAUUUGUCGGGGAAAAAGCAAAUGAGAAAAAAACUCCCACUAUAAAUUAUUAACAUCAACGUUUAUAAAUAUUAUCUAUCCUUGUACAACAUGUACCUGCAAUCAUUAUCGAUCUAUAUAUCUAUACCUCUCACCAUAUAUAAUUAUUUGAAUAAAGUAUGUUUUUUUAUCUUUAUUUAUUUCUCACAAAG